UUUUUUAUUUUUGGUGAUGCAUUGCUAAUUUUCAACUUCUCUCUUUAAAGUUUUCAUGCCAUGACCACUGGGGCGGAAACCAUUAUGACAUUGCCUUGGACAUCAAACUAAACCAUCUCAUUCUGGCUUUUGAGGUGGAUUCUAACCUCGAAAUCUCAGAAGGACAGGUCUAAGAUGGACGCAGCCUCCAUAGGAUGCAACCUUGCAUUUGAGAAACACCCAUAGAACCGUCAACUUACCCCAUACUCUAACCUGAAUGCAGGGAUCAUAAAACUUUAUCUUUUACCUUAAUUGUUAGAUGGGUGUUGAUACCAAACUUUUUUUCUCGUCUACCCAGGAGAAAGUCAUGGUGUUCUGCUGCUAAGGUUGUCAUAAACGUCUUUUAUUCUGCUUACCUGACUCAUGCAGAAUUCUGGCUUGAUGUUUGGUCCACCUGUUAGCUGGCUCUGGUGCUUGGUAGUCUUCUCAAACCUCUGAAUCAAGACCACCAUGAGAGGCCUUCUGAAGACCAUCAUUACGCUUCAGAUCCAGUUGUCUUUACUUUGAGCCUACCACAAUCCCUGUGCACCAGCUAUGGAAAGUGCAGACCAAACUUCUACCUCCACCUAUAGAACUGAACUGGAGUCUAUGAACUAAUGCUGUGUUCGAGACAACUUGGAUGUUGGAUAUUAUUGACCUUAAACCCGUAAGAAGUCAGGAACAGGAAACAAAGUGGAGUAUCCGACCUCUCAACUUGGAACAGAUCGAUCAACACCGACCUCAACGAGAUGCGUCAUUUGACAUUGCAGACAAGAUCCUUUCUCUUUUUAAUGCAGCACUUAAGGAUGAACCACCCUGAUCUACUAAGAUGCACAGAUUCAACUCUGGCCCAGCAUCAUCCCCACACCUCAUCUGCCAUCAGUUUAAUUUAAUGUCUGUCAAUUGCAAAUGGUAUUUAUUUCAGUUAUAUUACAACUUAAUAUUAAAGGAAUAGUCUACCCUUUUGCCAUAUUAAACUAUGUUAUUACCUCAACCUAGAU